rnacentral:rRNA from 1 species
CACGUAGGGGGCAAGCGUUGUCCGGAUUUAUUGGGCGUAAAGAGCUCGUAGGCGGUUCGGUAAGUCGGGUGUGAAACCUCCAGGCUCAACCUGGAGACGCCACCCGAUACUGCUGUGACUAGAGUCCGGUAGGGGAGCGUGGAAUUCCUGGUGUAGCGGUGAAAUGCGUAGAUAUCAAGAGGAACACCUGAGGUGAAGACGGGUUGCUGGGCUGACACUGACGCUGAGGCGCGAAAGCCAGGGGAGCAAACGGG